GACGAACGCUGGCGGCGUGCUUAACACAUGCAAGUCGAACGGAAAGGCCCUGCUUGCAGGGUACUCGAGUGGCGAACGGGUGAGUAACACGUGGGUGAUCUGCCCUGCACUUCGGGAUAAGCCUGGGAAACUGGGUCUAAUACCGGAUAGGAGCCAUUUUUAGUGUGAUGGUUGGAAAGUUUUUUCGGUGUAGGAUGAGCUCGCGGCCUAUCAGCUUGUUGGUGGGGUAAUGGCCUACCAAGGCGGCGACGGGUAGCCGGCCUGAGAGGGUGGACGGCCACAUUGGGACUGAGAUACGGCCCAGACUCCUACGGGAGGCAGCAGUGGGGAAUAUUGCACAAUGGACGCAAGCCUGAUGCAGCGACGCCGCGUGGGGGAUGACGGCCUUCGGGUUGUAAACUCCUUUCGCUAGGGACGAAGCUUUUUGUGACGGUACCUAGAUAAGAAGCACCGGCUAACUACGUG
rnacentral:rRNA from 1 species